rnacentral:rRNA from 1 species
UAUAUAUAAUGAUAUAAAUUAGUAAAAAUAUCAAUACAUAUAAAGGAACUCGGCAAAUAUUUACUUAGACUGUUUAACAAAAACAUAACUUAUAGUUUUUAUUAUAAGCUUAACCUGCUCAGUGAUUAUAAUUUAACAGCCGCAGUACACUGACUGUGCUAAGGUAGCAUAAUCAAUUGGUCUUUAAUUGGGAUCGGGUAUGAAUGGAUUUACUAUGUAAGACUGUCUUAUUGAAGUAUAUUAUGAACUUGCUUAAAGGGUGAAAAUUCCCUUAAAUUUAAUAAAAGACGAGAAGACCCUUAGACUUUUUUAAAUUUAAAACUAUGUUUUUAUUUAUUUUGUUGGGGCAACAAUGUUUCAAUUUUAAACAAACAGUAAAAAAAAUUUUAUAUGAAAAUAUAUUUUAAGAAAAAUUAAAGUACCUGAGGGAUAACAGCAUAAUUAAUUAUUUAGAUUGUGACCUCGAUGUUGGACUAGGUAAUAAAUUGUCAAGAAGAUAUUUUAUUUAGUUCUGUUCGAACUAUGCUCACCUA